GACGAACGCUGGCGGCGUGCUUAACACAUGCAAGUCGAACGGAAAGGCCCUGCUUUUGUGGGGUGCUCGAGUGGCGAACGGGUGAGUAACACGUGAGUAACCUGCCCUUGACUUUGGGAUAACUUCAGGAAACUGGGGCUAAUACCGGAUAGGAGCUCCUGCUGCAUGGUGGGGGUUGGAAAGUUUCGGCGGUUGGGGAUGGACUCGCGGCUUAUCAGCUUGUUGGUGGGGUAGUGGCUUACCAAGGCUUUGACGGGUAGCCGGCCUGAGAGGGUGACCGGCCACAUGGGGCAUGAGAUACGGCCCAGACUCCUACGGGGGGGAGCGGGGGGGAUUAUUGCACAAGGGGCGGAAGCCGGAGGCAGCAACGCCGGGUGGGGGAUGACGGCUUUCGGGUUGUAAACAGUUUUCGCCUGUGACGAAGGGUGGGGGGGGGUAAUGGGAAAAGAAGCACCGGUUAAUUAGGG
rnacentral:rRNA from 1 species